UACGUAGGGUGCGAGCGUUGUCCGGAAUUAUUGGGCGUAAAGGGCUCGUAGGCGGUCUGUCACGUCGGGAGUGAAAACACGGGGCUUAACCCCGUGCCUGCUUCCGAUACGGGCAGACUAGAGGUAUGCAGGGGAGAACGGAAUUCCUGGUGUAGCGGUGAAAUGCGCAGAUAUCAGGAAGAACACCCGUGGCUAAGGCGGCUCUCUAGUACGGUACUGACGCUGAGACGCGAAAGCGUGGGGAGCGAACAGG
rnacentral:rRNA from 1 species